CAUCCCUGGUCACGUCACUUUAAUUUCGAGAAAGUAUUCAAUUGAUGUUGUCUUGCACUUUUCUUAUCCCCACAGCGAGUCCAGUGCUUCGACAGCAACCCCCAAGUAUCAGCCACUUUCAACUGCCAGGUGCACUGCUUUUCACAAUGUCUGAAUCGUCAAGCGUCGAGGUGGAUGCGGACAGAGAGCGGGACGGGGAGGGGGACCGUGGCUCCUCAUAUCCUUCCACCCACGACUGCAGCAAAAUCGAGGCCCUUCGUCAGCGCUCCCAGCGCCUGACUGCCCGUCUUCAGCAGACGCAGCGGGAGAUGGAAACGUCCAGCGCAUCCGUCAAGGAGUCGCCCGCCGCCACCCGAACCGUGAAAGUCGUCAAUCCGCCAACGCAGAGGCGCGUGGAUGCGCCCUUUAACAGGCAAAUUAACUCCAAUGCUGUGGCAGGAGCCGUGCCGGUGGCGAUAGCCAUGUCUUACCACUUAGCACUGCCUUCCUACCCGGUGGCGGGCAUGCAGAUGGCCUCCCAGCAACAACCUCAGCUGCAGAUUCUACCCAGCUCCAGCCAACAGCCAAUGGCAAAGAAGUCAAAGCGGGCGCUAAGAAAAGAGGUAGACGCCCUCCAGGAGAUGAUCAAACUGAUGUCGCACGUCUCCCCGGAAGUGAAUGCAUAUGCCGCCCAGCUGAUACGCCAGAACGAGGUCCUGUCCCAGCUGGAGUGGGGAGCUCAGCCCCAGCAGGUAGCUCUGCGACAGCUUCCUCAGCGCAUCGACGGUGGGAGCGAGGUGGUUCGGCGACAACUGCCUCAGCAGCGGGUGGAAGGCCGCCAGCGCCGUGAGUCUGAUGCAUCGAGCAGCAAUAGCAAUCCUGCCCAGCAACCGACAAAACAAGGACGGCGACAGCGUAACCGUAAAAGAAGCGAGGGCUCCGGCAAAAACACUACUCAGUCGCUAAAAACCGAGCUGGACGCCAUGCGGACGUACAUUAACAAAAUCGUCCAGCAUCAUGUGGGAACUGACCACCAGCUGCCGCCAGAUCUAAUCUUUAAGGGCAACUUUUCCGACCUGGAAGCGCAUGCUCAGCGACUGACUGCGGCCGGAUACGGACGCAUUGUGGAGGAGGAGAUCCGGGUGAACCGCAAAAACAAUAGGCAGGCUUUCAUCACGAUGACCACGGAUCGCGAAGCCCUGGAACGGGAUGGCAUCGUGCUGCUGCCUGUGGCCCGGCGUUAUGCUUUCGAAGGCGACAAAGUUCGGGCUUUCGUUCUGAAUGCAGGUGCUCAGUGCAAUUCAAAACCUGCCGAGCCCUCCCCUGGCGGAAUAACUGGCGGAAAGCCGUCUUUGUCACUCGCGGAUGAUGAGGAGCUCUCGGAGUCGGAGUCUCAGGAUUCAGAAGCGGAAGCCGACAAUGUAGUCGUCAUCUCGUCGGACAACUGUCCGAAAGCUUUCGUUAUAGCUAUCACCAAACAAACUGAGCUCCGCCAAAUCGUAGGAACAAUAUCGUUCACAAACCCUACAAAGCUUUGCGAUGACCAGCUCUUUUACAAGUUCCGACCGUACGACUUGCGUGUACCCAUGGUAUACGUGCCCAUGGAGGGCUGUACCGCUCACAUCGGAAGCAAGACGCAAGCAGGGGAAGUGUCUGGCCUGCUAUAUCUGGCCCACAUACUGGAGACCGAUUGCAAUGGCCAUUGCAUCGCGGAGCUAAUCCAACCGGUGGGACGCGUGGGUAAUUUGGAAGACGAGCUAAAAGCGAUUCUCUUCCAUAAUGGCCUCCGAGAUAUAAAGCCAUUUGAGCAGCGAUUCGACGACAUGUAUUCCCAGCCUCCACCCCCGAUAAGCAAGACCGAUCUGCGUCAACGAAGGGACUUAAGAAAGAUGUGCAUUUUUACCAUAGACCCAAUGACUGCCCGCGAUCUGGAUGACGCCGUUUCCAUUGAGAAGCUAGGUGAUAACAAGUAUGAGGUUGGCGUCCAUAUAUCCGAUGUAUCGCACUAUCUUAUGGAGAAUAACGAAUUAGAUAAUAUCGUGAAGGAGCGUUCUACGUCCAUUUAUUUAGCCAACGAGGUAAUUCACAUGCUGCCCCAGUCUCUGUGCAUGCGUUGUUCGCUACUGCCUGGAGAGGACAAGUUUGCCUUCUCAGUCUUCUGGAAAAUGGACAGUGACGGAGUCAUGCUGGAAGAAAAGCCCGAGUUUUCUCGAACGAUCAUUAACUCCUGCUCGCAAUUUGCCUACGAACACGCCCAAAAGAUAAUCGAUAAUCCCAACGAGCUGUUUAAUGAGAACGAUUUUCCGACUAUCCUAAACGGAUUUAAUGCCAAUGACAUCAAAGAAAGAGUUCUGUGGCUUCACGGGAUGGCGAGCUCCAUGCGUAAAUCACGCUUUGACAACGGCGCUCUCACCAUUAACAACGCAAAGCUUCGCUUUAUUCUGGACCCAAUUAGCGGAGAGCCUGUGUCAUUCGAAGUGGAGCAACAGCGCGAGGCAAACCGCUUGAUUGAGGAGUUCAUGCUGUUGGCAAACCAGGCAGUGGCUCGUUUUAUACACGACUCCUUUCCUGAGAACGCUGUGCUCCGUAACCACCCGCCACCAUUAACGAAGUCCCUCAAGGCGUUACGGGAAAAACUCCUGGCCUUGGGAUUCGAACUGGACUACAGCUCGUCAAAGGCGCUUCAGGAAAGCAUGGUGCGACUUUGCAACGAGGCCCCCAACCCUGUCGCAAUGAAUGCUUGCCUCAGCCAGCUGCUAAUGAAGCCUAUGGCAAGGGCAACAUAUUUUUGCAGCGAGGGUAAAACGGAACCGGCAGACCUGUGGCACUAUGCAUUGUCCAUUCCUAUUUACACCCACUUUACUAGCCCGAUCCGCCGGUAUCCUGACAUAAUGGUGCACCGCCUGCUGGCGGCCGCACUUAAAUACUGUCCACCGCCUGAACGCACACCAGACGAUCUCCACGCCCUGACAAAGCUAGCCAAUGAGCGCAAGUACAAUGCCAAAAUGGCCGGAGACGACUCCGGCCACUUAUAUUUCAAGCGCUAUGUGCGCAAUAAGCAAGGCAUCUACAUGCAGGCCGUGGUCAUAGAGAUAUUUCAGCACAUGAUGAAUGUUGUUACUCUGGAGUCUGGCCACGUCAUAUGCAUCAACUUCAAGAUGCAAAAGGUCCUUGUCGAUACGCACAGCGCACCCAACUACGUUAUGAUUGCCGAGCGUAACAUAAAGCAGUCACCUCGCAAGCUACAGCUGCUUUCUUUGGUGCCUAUUUGUCUGCUCAUUUGGGACAAUAAGCUAACUGGUUUCCUAACGAUGGGCGACCAACGCGUACAGGCGCCCAAGGAUCAGCCCACCGGAUCUGGAUCGUCACGAAAAAACAAGCCAAAGCUGCAGCAAAAUAUUGAGCAGCAGCGGCAACAGCAACAUCAGCAACAUCUCCAGCAGCAGCAACAUAUCCAGCAACAGCAGCGAAUUUUUGCAAUCAGGCAAAACAGCUUAUAACUAAGCAAAGAUAUUCGGCUACAGCUUUGGCUCAAAGAUCCCUUUCCUUAUCACGCCGUAGAUUGCACUUGUUUUGUUUGAAAAAUCGGAAACUUCCUAAAAUUACUCAUUUGAACAAAAACUCUGAUUAUGAGACGGGAGAUCCGUAUAAACAUCACGAGAGUCGCGGGCUGGCUUAUAUUUAACCGGGUGCUUUUUGGAAGCCUCAGACCAAUAGUGACUUAAUUUGCAUCAAAACAGUGACCUAGGUCCAACACAUCAAAUUCCAUAACAUUUCUCGAAGAAAUCUGAUUUAAAAAAGGAAUACCUCUAAAGGUUUGUGGCUUAAAUUUCUAAGAAUUUGUCUUCAAAUUUUGGUCAUAUAGGUUUAUCUUUUAAUUUUCUAAGAAGCUGCAACCUCUUUAGGUUUAAUUUUCUAAGAAUCUGUGUAAAAAUGUUGUUUAUUUAUGACGAGGGGGCUAAGCGCAGGCCAGUAUUUAAUCUGGGUUUUUUGAGAGUCAUCCAUCGCAACGGAAUAUUAUUUGCGGCGCGUCAACCCUGGACCCACCAGCUAGAGAAACUUUAAUUUUGAUUGGGACGGUCAAUAUAAUCUGAUUGUUGUUAAACUGUCUUUACUUAUUUUCUAUUAAAGACUUUAGAGUUGCUUUGAUUUUAAUAAUUUA